GAAAAGAGUAUGAUGUCAGACCAUGAGAAAGCUUGCGGAGAUAAGAUUACUCGAUUGGAGGAGUCUCUGAAAAAGGAAAACUCAGGACGACAAAAAUUUUAGCAUUUUGAGGAAAACUUUGGGUUCCCUUUUUGAGAAUGCCUCAGAUGAUGAUUUCCCACCUGAUGAUUAAAGCUUUGCUUCAGUGUUGGCAUCUCAGAGAAAAGGCAAAACUGACCACUCUUUCAACCUGAUUCAAGA